rnacentral:rRNA from 1 species
AACGAACGCUGGCGGCAUGCCUAACACAUGCAAGUCGAACGCCCCGCAAGGGGAGUGGCGAACGGGUGAGUAACGCGUGGGAACCUACCCAGCAGUUGGGGAUAACCGCGGGAAACUGCGGCUAAUACCGAAUACGUCCUAAGGGAGAAAGAUUUAUCGCUGUUGGAGGGGCCCGCGUCGGAGUAGCUAGUUGGUGAGGUAACGGCUGACCAAGGCGACGAUCCGUAGCUGGUCUGAGAGGAUGAUCAGCCACACUGGGACUUAGACACGGCCCAGACUCCUACGGGAGGCAGCAGUGGGGAAUAUUGGACAAUGGGGGCAACCCUGAUCCAGCAAUGCCGCGUGAGUGAUGAAGGCCUUAGGGUUGUAAAGCUCUUUUACCGGGGACGAUGAUGACGGUACCCGGAGAAUAAGCCCCGGCUAACUUCGUGCCAGCCGCCGCGGUAAUAC